rnacentral:sRNA from 1 species
UAUCUCUCCGUACGGGGAAGGAUGAGAAGCUUCGACUAAGGUUCGAUUCGAGCGCAGCGAGAAAGCGUUGCCGCAGGCAACGACCCGAAGGGCGAAGCGCGCAGCGCUGAGUAAUACUUCCCCCACCACCA